GCCUGGGUGGCUCAGUUGAUUGAGUGUCUGACUUCAGCUCAGGUCACGAUCUCACAGUUUGCGAGUUCGAGCCCCGCGUCAGGCU
rnacentral:tRNA from 1 species